rnacentral:rRNA from 1 species
CACUCUAGAGAGACUGCCAGGGAUAACCUGGAGGAAGGUGGGGAUGACGUCACAUCAUCAUGCCCCUUAUGCUUAGGGCUACACACGUGCUACAAUGGGUAGUACAGAGGGUUGCCAAGCCGUAAGGUGGAGCUAAUCCCUUAAAGCUACUCUCAGUUCGGAUUGUAGGCUGAAACUCGCCUACAUGAAGCUGGAGUUACUAGUAAUCGCAGAUCAGAAUGCUGCGGUGAAUGCGUUCCCGGGUCUUGUACACACCGCCCGUCACACCACGGGAGUUGGAGACGCCCGAAGCCGAUUAUCUAACCUUUUGGAAGAAGUCGUCGAAGGUGGAAUCAAUAACUGGGGUGAAGUCGUAACAAGGUAGCCGUAUCGGAAGGUGCGGCUGGAUCACCUCCUUUCUAAGGAGA